rnacentral:rRNA from 1 species
UACGUAGGGGGCAAGCGUUGUCCGGAUUUAUUGGGCGUAAAGAGCGUGUAGGCGGCCAGGUAGGUCCGCUGUGAAAACUCGAGGCUCAACCUCGAGAUGUCGGCGGAAACCAUCUGGCUAGAGUCCGGAAGAGGAGAGUGGAAUUCCUGGUGUAGCGGUGAAAUGCGCAGAUAUCAGGAAGAACACCCGUGGCGAAGGCGGCUCACUGGCCCGGUACUGACGCUGAGGUGCGAAAGCGUGGGGAGCAAACAGG